GAUCCCUUUUUAGGAGCAUUGUGGUCCCUUGGAACCUCGUCUCCCCCACCCAUGGCGUGGCUAUCCUCAAAAGACUCAACCUUGGAGGAGUCUCCCCUCUUAUAAUCCGUUAAAGACUCUGCUACUGCUAUGGCAGUGGCUAAGUCUUGAACACCUCGACGUCUCAAUUCCUACUUAGCCCACCCUUGCAGGUUAUCCAUGAAGUUGAAUAACAACUCCUCCUAAGUCAUGUUAGGAAUCUCAAGCAUGAGUGAAGAGAAUUCCUUGACAUAGUCGCGUAUCGAACCUGUGUGCUUGAGACGCCUCAUGUUUUUCCUAGCCAGGUAAGCCACGUCCUCGGGGUAGAACUGCCUCUUAAUCUCCCUCUUGAAGUCCUCCCACGUCUCUAUGGUGCAAAUGUCUUUCUCCAUAUCGGCAAACCUUCGACGC
rnacentral:lncRNA from 1 species